rnacentral:rRNA from 1 species
GCAGAGCACUCCGUACGGGAGGCAGCAGGUGGGAAUAUUGCACAAUGGGCGCAAGCCUGAUGCAGCCAUGCCGCGUGUAUAGAAGAAGGCCGUUUCGGGUUGUAAAGUACUUUCAGCAGUGAGGAAGGUGGGUAUGUUAAUAGCAUACUCAUUUGACGUUUAGCUGCAGAAGAAGCACCGGCUAACUCCGUGCCAGCAGCCGCGGUAAUACGGAGGGUGCGAGCGUUAAUCGGAAUUACUGGGCGUAAAGCGCAUGCAGGUGGUUUGUUAAGUCAGAUGUGAAAGCCCGGGGCUCAACCUCGGAAUUGCAUUUGAAACUGGCAAACUAGAGUACUGUAGAGGGGGUAGAAUUUCAGGUGUAGCGGUGAAAAUGCGUAGAGAUCUGAAGGAAUACCGGUGGCGAAGGCGGCCCCCUGGACAGAUACUGACACUCAGAUGCGAAAGCGUGGGGAGCAAACAGGAUUAGAAACCCUGGUAG